GACGAACGCUGGCGGCGUGCUUAACACAUGCAAGUCGAACGGAAAGGCCCUGCUUUUGUGGGGUGCUCGAGUGGCGAACGGGUGAGUAACACGUGAGUAACCUGCCCUUGACUUUGGGAUAACUUCAGGAAACUGGGGCUAAUACCGGAUAGGAGCUCCUGCUGCAUGGUGGGGGUUGGAAAGUUUCGGCGGUUGGGGAUGGACUCGCGGCUUAUCAGGUUGUUGGUGGGGUAGUGGCUUACCAAGGCUUUGACGGGUAGCCGGCCUGAGAGGGUGACCGGCCACAUUGGGACUGGGAUACGGCCCAGACUCCUACGGGAGGCAGCGGUGGAGAAUAGUGCACAAUGGGCGGAAGCCUGAUGCAGCAACGCCGCGUGCGGGAUGACGGCCUUCGGGUUGUAAACCGCUUUCGCCUGUGACGAAGCGUGAGUGACGGUAAUGGGUAAAGAAGCACCGGCUAACUACGUG
rnacentral:rRNA from 1 species